rnacentral:rRNA from 1 species
CUCCCAGACUCCUACGGGAGGCAGCAGUGGGGAAUAUUGCACAAUGGGGGAAACCCUGAUGCAGCGACGCCGCGUGAGCGAUGAAGUAUUUCGGUAUGUAAAGCUCUAUCAGCAGGGAAGAAGAUGACGGUACCUGACUAAGAAGCCCCGGCUAACUACGUGCCAGCAGCCGCGGUAAUACGUAGGGGGCAAGCGUUAUCCGGAUUUACUGGGUGUAAAGGGAGCGUAGACGGUCCUGCAAGCCAGAUGUGAAAGCCCGGGGCUCAACCCCGGGACUGCAUUUGGAACUGUAAGGCUAGAGUGUCGGAGAGGCGGGCGGAAUUCCUGGUGUAGCGGUGAAAUGCGUAGAUAUCAGGAGGAACACCGGCGGCGAAGGCGGCCUGCUGGACCGCGACUGACGUUGAGGCUCGAAAGCGUGGGGAGCAAACAGGAUUAGAUACCCUAGUAG